GAAAACCUGGAAACUACCAUUGGAUCAUUUCUGUCUAAGAUUCAUCCAUGUCACUAUAAGUAAAAAUUUUACUCGCAGAUUUACUCAUGAGUAAAAUUUUUACUGAGAGUAAAAUAAAUCUGCGAGUAAAAUUUUUACUCAUGGUGACGUGGAUGAAUCUCGAAUGUCCAUUUCUCAAUCCAAUGGCAGUUUUCAAGUUUUU
rnacentral:pre_miRNA from 1 species